rnacentral:misc_RNA from 1 species
AACGCACGAGACCUGCGGACCUGCGGAGGGAUCAUUACCGAGGACGUGGGUCGCGCCGGAACGGGCCGGCCCCUCUCUCAACACCAUGUGUAAAUCUCCAGUUGCUUCGGCAGGACGUCAGUCCUUUUCAAAGUGUCCCCUUUUUUUCCUCUUUUUGAGAGGGAAAGGGGGUUUUUCUCUGAGAAAAGAACUGCCGUCGGCAGCAUUAAGAAAGCGGGCGAGUGCCUGCCGAAGAUCAAU